rnacentral:pre_miRNA from 1 species
AAGCCCUUACCCAACUCUUUGCUAAGUGUUUGUCAAUCAAGGAGAAAGGAAGGGUUGU